UUGGUCUGUCUCUCUCCAUUGGAGGAGAGAUUUUUGUUCUACAAUAAAGAGCUGCUCCUGUGACACUGUUUCCUGCCUGGGGUUAUUCCAUCUCAUUGGCCCUACUGGUGAUUGUUUUAAGGGAGUUCCUGACCCCCUGUAACCCUCCACAUGGGUUUCUUACAUACCCUGGGCCUAUUUCCUCAAGCAGUCUUGGAAUCCAAGAUUCACUAAUACAGACUAACCUACAUAUAGUGAGUAUUUAGCUAAUUGAUCUUGAGACUAAUGUAUUCAGACUGAUCCAGCAUGGUGCAGGGGUUGGGUGCCUGGUAACCUCACAUGAAACAGCAACAUUACUGGGCCUGUUACACCCUGAAAACCUUUUUGUGGAAAAUCUGAGGAGGCGGCCUGGAGGAGAGGCACGUAGAUGGAUCUUUGGGGAAGUCAUUCAGAUUCCAACCCCUGAGCAGUAAGAUGUCCAUGCUGAGAUACUCACAAAGACAUGAUGUUUUGUGAAUUGUCUG